GGUGGUUUUCGGGUGACAUACCCCAGAAUCGGGCUACCUCCUCUCUGGUUCCAGGUUUGUCACCCGAGAACCGCU
rfam:Myotis davidii contig4800, whole genome shotgun sequence.